rfam:Gossypium hirsutum cultivar TM-1 chromosome 9, whole genome shotgun sequence
AAUCCAUGGUAUGGGCACUUCCUAAGCAUAAACUUGAAAUGUUCUCACGCCUCAUACAAGGAUUCACCUUCGUAUUGUUUAAAGUUGACAAUUUCUUGCCUAAGUUG